GCAAAAUCAUGAGGCGAGUACUCCGGAAG
rnacentral:piRNA from 1 species